rnacentral:lncRNA from 1 species
UCGGGCUUUAGCCACUUAAACAAUCGUCGACAAGAACUCGUAGCCUCUGUUAGAUCACCCACCAAUUUCCAAUACAAUUUCACUCCUAAAUCCUAAUCCUCCACCGCACCGCUUAAUUUGACUUCUUCAUCUUCCGCCGUAGAUGAAGAACAAGAACAAUGAAACGGGGCAGUUGCUUAGCUCCAAUUGCUAAAACCCUAUACAAAAUUGUUUUUAUAUAAUUGGCGCAAUGUAUGGGUUUGAAGAGUUUGUUUUUCUCGUACUGCAAUAAGAGGCGCUUUUAUAUCAGGAAGGACUGGAGGAGCCGAGGAGAUAACAGACCAGGUUAAUUUAUGUGUCUGAUUUACUUCUUUCUACUUCUGUUGCAUUUAUAGUAUUCAAUCAAGGAAAAAUAAAUGGCAAGUGAUGAAAAAUAUUUUCAACUAAUUAAUAGUUACUAUUACCUAAUUUAUAACUUUCAAGUCUUAAAGAUGAUUAUUGCUUAAUUAAAAAUGUCAACGAUCAUUAUUACCUAAUUACAUCAUAUAAGCUUAAAGAGAUUCAAGGAAUCCAUUUAUAAAUUACAAUGAGAAAGCGUAUUUAGGUAGAAAAUAAUAAGGAAGCAUAUUCAAUUGGAGCAGUUGUCUUGGACAAUUGCUGAUCUAUUCUAGUGUCAGGACAUUUCCUGGCAUCCGACAAGGAUGUAAUAUAGUAAAUAAUCAUAUCCAAGUCAUGUUGUGUUACAAAUUUAUCAUGAAUUCAUUCUAUCUAUGCCUCUCUAUUUAUAUUAGAUUUUUUUAGGGUACGAACUAACAUGCUCUACUGCAUAAGAUAUGGAACAGUGAAGCUAACUACCAGUCUUUACUUUUGUCUCUACUUUACUAGAAUAUUCUUAGCUAACUAAUUGGUCCCUCAGUUUUAUUUAAUUCUACCAAUCACCCUUGGCUUUGCACCAUCGUGUUAAAAAAUGUGUAUAUUUUAAGAUGUUACAGAUAGCAGGUAUUUGUUGAAGAAACAUAUUACAUAAAACGGCCUAAUGUGUAACGAAAUAUGAAAUAGCAUUCGAUUCGAAUAAGAUCUUUAGCUUAACAUGAGAUGUCAUAAACAGUUGAGGUCUAGAAUUUUUGAAACGAGAACUGGUUCAUAUUCAGUAGUCAACUCAAGACUGGAAGUAGUAUUCGUCAGCGUUGGUGGAGACUAGCGAGUGAUCUGUGCUUUGUGAAGCUGAUCCCUGGGAUGCUGGAAGAUGUUUUUACUCUUUGUAUUGAACAUUAGAAAAUCAAAUGAUAUGGUAAGAAAUUUACAGAUUUUAGUUAACACUUCAAAGCUCAUUCAAUUCUUGAGCAUAAGAUUAUUGAUCAGCAACUAUUGAUUAUAGAAGAAAAUCAAUUUGAAAGAACAGAUUAUUGACAUUUAUUUAACACACAAUACAGAGUUUCUGUGCAAUUAUUCAAUUUUGUAGUAAAAGGUUGAAUGGCUUGCACAGCUCCCUAGGGACUCUCUUAAACGCACAAGCACAAGUAGUUUACUAGGUAUACAUAACCAUAACCGUAGAGGUCUAUAGCGCUUUUCAACACUCUUAUCCCACACUGUUCACCAAGGCCUCUUAUAAAUAUAACUCUCUUAAGCACAUGUAUAACACUUUUCAGACCUUUUGCAUAGCUCCCACAAGACACCCUUAAACACGUAUACACUAGUAUUCUAGUACUAAAGUUUACCAUUCAUAGAACUUAUGAUCUCGCUGCCGUGCGAGUAUAACAUUGUCUUCUUCGUGGCUUGAUAUUUAGGUGUACAUUAGUUGGAGGCAAAUGUUCCAACAAAUCCGAAUCCUAUUAUGAAAAAAGCCCCUGCUUGCAAGAUCAGAUAUAGGAAGAAGUGAUCAUUGCCAAAAAGCAUGUUGUAGAUGGCACAAUGCGACAAAAACAUUCCCAUAAUCAACUCCAAGACAUGAAUCCUGCUUGGAAAAUCACAAUGUCUUAAAUACAUACUAGAUGAUUCAGUAAAAUGAUGUGUUUAAUGUUCAGAGAGUGCAAUGCUAUGAAUAUCGCCAGCGCCAACUGUUGUUAAGCUUAAGAUGUUUAGGUAAAAAUUAGUGAAGUGGCAUUAACUAGAUGAAAAUACCUUUCGCCUAUGCGUAAUCGGAAUCUGUUUGAUGCUUUGUUCUUUUGCUUAUUUGUGUUCCCUAGCUUCUCAGUCACAAUCCAUUCAUUGACUCGGUUAGCUUCUAGCAGUCCUAUAAAUGUUGCCUUAGAUCGAUGGAGGGACAUGACAUUCUCAAACAGGAUCCAGAAGACGAGCAGAUGCAAGGACCUGCAUACCAGUUGAAAUCACUAUCUUUUUUGGAAAUUAAGAAAGAAUGCUAUUAAAAGAAUAUCAUAUUACCUUAUUUAGGUUUUUAUUACCUUGGAGUACUGCCUGUAUUCAGAAUGGUUAUGGUUGCCGGAAGGUAUAUGGCUAAUGACCUUGGGAGUUGAAUUUCAGGAACCAAGACGCACAUUGGAAUAACCACACAGUAAAAGAAAAAGGUGACCCAAUGUGCAACAAUCUUCCUAACAAAGAAGAAUGCGUAGAUAACAUGAAUCUUCUUCCAGAUGGACACGCGCUGCAUUACAUAACAAGUUCAUUUGUGAUUUUCCUUAGAAGAUAAAUGAAAUCUAAGCCUUCUAUUUUCCGACUUACUAAUUUAAAAUAGAUGUUUUAAGUUGUCUUACCUUGCAAAGCAUGAUUUCCUUGGUUAUUUUCUUGAAAAGAUUAGCUGGGCCACAUGACCAACGGUGCUGCUGGAAUCGAUAAGCCUUGAAGGUACUUGGGAGUUCAUUUUUGAUCUAUUAAAGAAUUUUUCUUUUAUGAGAUUCUUAUUUUUGAACUUGGGGUAUUGUCAACUAAACGAAGGUUGAAACAAAAUUACCAUUAAGUCCCCCACAAAAACAAACUUCCAACCCUUUAGGCUGGCCCUGACUGCAAGAUCCAUGUCCUCCACUGUGGUUCGAUCUUUCCAUCCACCUGCAUCAUUUAUUGCUUGAAUUCGCCAAACACCAGCAGUACCUACAAUCAUAACAAUUAAGAAUUCCAUUACUUACAUUGCUUUGGAGUGAUUUCUUAGUAGCUACUAUGUCUAAGUGGUUUAUGCUCAAGUAUAAUGAAACUAUGGUUUACCAUUGAAUCCAAAGAAUUGACAUGUUGAGGAGCCCACUUCUUGUUCGACAGAGAAGUGAUAGUUAAGGGACAUCUCCUGUAGCCGGGUCAUUAGGCAGUCAUCCGCAUUAACUAGAGAAUAAAGCAUUUUUAUUAGCUUGAGAUACAUAAAAUAAAUUUUAGAACUGAAGCCUUACUUAUUCCACACAUGUCCAAAUUUUAUAUGCAUGCAUGGGUUUAGGUGAACAUAUUUAACCAUCGGACCAAUAUCUUAUAUCUAUGUUAUCUGAUAUCUCAUGGAACUACUGAAAAUGAUCAGAAGUUUUACAUGAGCAUAAUACUGUCAUUAGUCUUACCGAAUGCCCAUCUGGCCUGCACCAAACCCAGUUCAGGGUUUUCAAGAAGGUAAGGAAUAGUUCUCCAAAGAAAAUCUUCCUCAGGUUGGAAAUCUGCAUCAAAUAUCACAACAAAUUCACAGUCUUUCACAUACUGCUUCUGUAGCCCUUCACGUAGAGCUCCGGCUUUGUAGCCAUUUCUGUUGUUCCUCGUCUCAUACAUCACAUUCACUCCUUUCUCUAUCCAUUUAUGGCACUCUAACUCCACCAAAGUCUGCAUAUGUAUGAGCAUGAGAUUAAUAGAAUUCAACUCCUUUCAAUAGAUUCUGUUGGUGGUGUGAUUAAGUUGAAAGAGAUACCCUUAGGACUUCAUUUGUUGAGUCAUCAAGAACUUGAACAAUGAAGCGAUCUGAUGGCCAUGAAAGUGCACACACAGCUCCAAUUGAGAGCUUGUAGACCUAAACAAGAAGAAGCUGAAGAUGAGAGAUUUUAUAAGAGCUCUCAUAAGUAAGGUUCUUUAUAUUUAUUUGCCUGGUUGUGCUAUCUCAACGUGUAAGGUAUAUGAUCACAUAUAAGUUUCAAGAGAGAACUCUUUCUCUAAAUGUGUAAUAAUCAUAAAAUAGUCUAAGCUCUACUCCAACAAACAUCUUCAUAAACAAUAAACAAUAGUUAAACAUCUUGCUUUGAAUUUACUAUCACUCCUUGAUGAAUAUUUGAAUUUCUACAGUUAAAUAUGAAAAUUAACUGGCAUACUUAGCUUUUCUAUGUUUCCAGUAUUAUGCAUCUACUUCAUGCUUUAUACAUGUGAGUGGAAAUAAAAUCAUUUAAGUAAAUAAAGUGUCAUACCUCUCUUUCGUUAAACAUAGGUAUUUGGAUCAACACCAUGGGAUAACUUUUAUUUUGCUCUAAAUCUUCUUUCAAGGCUUCCAGUUUGUACUUGGUGUAUCUUUUCUUCCCCAAAAACUUUACGCUUAAGAUCACAGCUGUCAUGUAAAUCCGUUCAACAAAAAGCAUAAUAGACAUAGCUACACAUAUAUAAAAUGCAACAUAUAGAAUUGGCAUGACCACCGGAGCUCGUAUACGCUGCCAAGCAUCAUUGAGGCUUGCCGUGAUACCAUCUGUUACUCUCACCUCAGGAUCUUGAAGCAUUGUGUUUUGCAUGGUUGCUGAAAUGUUUUGGGUAAAAGAACUGAAUUUUAGGUCUAAAAAAGAAAGAGAGGCUUUAAAGAGAUGAUGGUAAGGGACUAUUACAAGAAGUGCAUCAGAUACUCCCUGUGUUUUUAUGGAUACAGUGUGUGCUUUAAAUAGAAAAUAUGAAUAUAUUAGGGUGAGAUGAAGGCAUGGCCUGGGGCUUAGGUGGAAGAAUGCGAUGAGUGAACCGAUGAAAUAAAACUCUUCGUAGGGAGAGACACCCGGUGUGCAUGCAAGUAAAGACACUGCAACGUAGCAACUUAGCAGCUGGAAUUUUGGCCUUUUAUUGCCGACAAUAAAUGGAAGUUUUAAAAGUCAAUUGAACCACGGCAACAAUUACUCCAUUUAUGUCUCAGUCUCAUCCUUCUUAAACUCUAGUUCGUUUUUGGAGAUUGUAAAAUUAACUAGGAAACAAUAAAUGUAUUACAUAUGUACACAAACCUGUUAACCUAGUGUUAUCUUCCAACUCAUAUUUUACUUUUCUGAUCUGUCAUUAGUCUUGUACAAAUUUGCCUUAGCAUCUCUCACUGCCAAGGUGCCUGAUAAGGUCAAAGUUUUGUUUGCUGUUUUCUUGAACACUAAAGAUUUAUAGCAAAGGGCAAGAGGCCUUAUAAGUUCGUUUCUUUGAGUUAGUGUGUCUAGUGCAAUCAGAGCUCGGAAUUUGCUGACUAUAUAUUUAUACACAUUUUUUUAGUUUUUAUUCAUAGACAAUCUCGAAUAACCAAAAAGAUUUUGUAGCUACGUUUCUCUGUAUCUUCAAUGUGGUCUUGCCUCUCUUUUGGCUUAGAAUAUGUGGGCCUUGUUGUAGUUUUUUUCAAUCUCCUAUAAUUUUUGUUUUUAUUUUGAUAAACCAACAUCUCCUGUAGUUAUGUAUACUAUCUUACAUUAGGUCUUUGUUUUACUUUUUCACUUAUUCUAUCUUUAUGGAGGACUCCUUCACCUUUAUUGUAAUCUUUCUCAUAAAAUUUCUCCUUUUAUCUAAAUCGAACAGAAAAAGUUCUCUUGACUUUUACCCAUAUUUGUAAAAAGUAGAAGCUUAUAUUCGUUAAUUCUUCUAUUUUUACUUUUCAUUUUCCUAAAAGUUGUAAUAAAUACCUUUGUCAAUUAAGUCACAUGAGAUUUUAUUUUAUUUUUGUUUGUUUAUGUAAUUAAGUUAUGUAUUAUUAUAAGCAAUUGUUGUGUCAUGGCAUAUUUAGCCUUCAUUAUAGUUUAGUUAACAUGAUGCGGACAGAAAUUUGAUUAUUGAGCAAUUAAAAGUUGAGUUUCUACUCGCACAAUUAUGUAAUUAGAAGUGUAACAAGAUUCUUAGAGUUUAUCACUGUUGAUGAAACUGUGUUUUUAUUUUGCUAAAGUGAUUAGAAUGACUCAUACUUCGAUUCAGGUUCGGAAAAGAAGCCACACCUGCUUUGGUUUAUGUAGACGUGUAGGCAACAUGAUUCUGGUGCGUUCAAAUUGAAUGUUGUCGACAUCAAAGGUCAAUACAUCAUAUAAGUUGUCACCUUCCUCAUGUAUUAAUUUACUUUUAAAGUUAAUGAUUGGCAAGUAAUUUGAUCUUGGGCUACGUGUGUUCAUGACAUUUUGUAUUGCUUGUAUUAUGUGCAUUUAUUAGUGUUGUUAAACGAACUGAGCUACUCGAUACUCGACUAGACUAGAUUUAAUAACUUAUUUAUAUAUUUUUGUUUUAUGUUAUAUAUUAUAUAUGAUUUAUUUUAUUUAUAAUUUUAUAUAAAUAGUUUAAUAUAUUGAAAAUAUAUAAAAUUGUAAAAAUAUACUCAUUACUCUAUAAUUAAUCGAUAAUGUUACGAGCUACGUGCUAACUACUCGACUCGAUAAGUACUAGUGUCAUGUUGGAAAAUGAAAAUCUAUGUUCAUUAAGUAUUCGAUUUGAUUCGAAAUUGAUAAUUUUUAUAGAGAGUCAAGCUCGAAAAGUCAAUACUUGACUCAACUUGAUCGAUUCGAUUACAGCCCUAGUAUUUAUAUAAGUGUGGAUGGUAAGGGUAUGUUUGUGACUGUGAGUGCAUUUUUAGUAACUAUGAUGAUUUAUUUUGAAGCUAAUCUUAUCUAUGGGAAUGCUAACUAAAUAUAUCCUCUAUAAUCUAAUUUUGUGGCUGUAUCUGUUCCAAUCAUUAAAUGAUACCAAAGAUAUCUCUGUAAUGUAGUUUAAUCUAUUGUGGAAAUUUGUAUCCCAUCCAAGGCUUUGAUGUUAAACUAUGGUGUUCAUUCUAUAUGGAUCAUUUUAAUGGGGUAUUUAGCAUUUUUUUAGCUUACAUUCUUGUUAUUUUAAUUGUAACUUUAAUUUUCAUUGCUCUGCUAGAUAUUGCUCUGGGAACUUUUAUAUUUGAUCCUCUCUCACUCUUUGCUUCCUCCAUACAUAUCAUUUUCUUCGAUAUUCAUGUCAUUUAUUAUCUUUCAAAACUAGCGACGAGUGUAAUUUUAGACUAGUGUAAGUUUGUUCAAUUGCAGAGAUUUAACAAUUUAAGCUGCCAUAUGAUUGUAUGUUUCUUCUUUUUCAUUCAUUCUCUUGUUUCCCAUAUGUUCCUAAUUUUUUUUAGUUGGUUUGAGUCAUGAGAGGUCAGGGUGAUGAAGAGUAAUAGAAUAUAAGACAAAACAUGGUUUUGAUUUUACAUUUUUUACCUUACCGAAAAAAAAGACAACAAAAGAAUAUAGGAUAAGAUGCCAUUACUAAAUUGAUAUCAGGGUGUAGGCUUAUUAUACAUUUUUGGGUAUCAUCGCAAAUUCUGAUAAUACUGAUAAUAUAUACUGAUAAUGUUAUUGUGCUUGUACGUAUAAUGUUCAUAAAUUCUUGCCUGAAACAUUUUGGAUUAGUGUCUGACCAGUCUGGUAGCAAACAGCAAUUUGUGAUGCUAAAUCCAUUUAGUUACAUGUUACAAAGAAACUCCAUUUUCAAAUUUAAUUUAUAUGAGCCCAAUGUUGCAUCUUUCGUUCUUCUCAGCUACUCAAAUGCCGAUUUAAUAGAGUAUAUUUUGUCCCAGUGUUGCAUGUUCCGUUCUUAUCAGUUACUCAAAUGUCUUUUUGGUUUCAAAUAAUUUUAUUAUUGUACUGUAGUUUCGAAUUUUCUUGUUCUAAUGAAUUUUCAAGAGUAAGUUAUUGUGCCUUCUUGAUAUUUGCAUAUUAAGUGAUUAAAAACACGAGCACAUUCUAUGCACGUUUGCACAUGUAAGAUUGUAAUGAGCAGCAGAGGGAGGAAUGUGAAUAUUUUAAAGAUAUUUUGUAUAAAUGGUAUUAUGACUGCAUUCAAUAUGUUCUUUUUAUCUUUGAUUUGGUCUUAUAUGUGUGAAAUUAAAAUGUUUAUUGAAUGUUUUCUGCAAACCAAGAAGCAAAAGUGCGUUUUAAAAUCGAUUCAUUUGCAUUAUCUGAAAAUUUCCUAUUGGUCAUGCUUUCUAAUUUGUAAAAACAACAGAAUGAAGAUUAUAGUAUAUAAAUGAUUAUUGGUUUCAUGGAAUGACUAGUUUUUUAGACUGAAACUGAAAUCUAUUGCAUUUUUGUAUUUAAAUCUUACUGUUACUUUUAUGGUCGUAUGCUCUAUCUGUCAGAGGAAAUACUCUUAUGAGUAGAUAGUAAUAUCUAAUAUAGUAAUAUACUUACGUAAAAAGAAUAAUAAUGAAAAACCCACCAUAUUCAAAUUGAGUUGUAAUAUUGUAAAACUAGCUGGGUCCCGUGCCUCUGGCACUGUAUGGACGGUGGGAUUUAUCUCAAAUUUUGAACGGUCCAGAUAAUUUAUUGAGUGAGCGGAAAAUUCAAAAUCAUUUGUAUUUUAUUAGAUAGAUAGAUAGAUUCUUCAUCUUUUAUACAUUUAUUUGAGGCCCUUCCAAGUCUUAAUUUAUAUUUUAGUAGUUUUCUUCCAACUCUUUGUAUCUCAAAAUAUUUCAAGUUUCAGGUUGGCAAUGCUUGUCAGUUGAUAUGUUGAUGAACACACUAUGCUGUCUGCCUGGUGCUUGGAUGUAUCACGUUGCAAAGUAUAGAGAGCAUUUACAUCAACUUUUAUAGUUGGUGAAUGGUUUUCCCUCCAAACAAAACUCUGGCUGCUUUGCUCAGUAGACUAAUCGUCUGGAACUGAAUCGAUUGUGACAUCACUUCCAACAUCGGUUUUUAUAAGGGAUUUCAGUUGGGUAUAAACAAGCACCUAAUAAGCUUAUUGUUUUGUGUUUAAACUAUAGAACGGUUCCUGAGCAGCAGGAUAAGUGCUUCGUUAAAGGGAUUCAAUAAGAGUAGGGAUGAUAAGGUGCCUUGGCUGGGUUCUCUUUAGUGUUGUGGGGGAUUUAUAAUGAAAGAAAUGCAAGGCUUUCUGGGGAUAAACAAUUUUAUAUGCACUUGUUGAGAGAUUGAGUCGUUUUGAUAGCACUAGGAGUGACCCAAACAAUCCCCAAUGGUACAGUGAGUCAGUGACUAGUGAGUAUCAAAAAUAGAACAAACGAAAGCCCGUAAAAAAAUGAGAAGAAAAAAGGAGUCGUUAGAGAAAAUAGAAAAAGAAGCAGAGGAGGAGGAGGAAUAGUCUUCGCUCAUGGGUUUCAUCUCUCUCCCCUUCUUUCUUUUAGUUCCCUCGCCUUGUGAUGCCCAUCACGCUUGGAUACUCCACGACUUAGCAUCAUGUUUCCUUGCGGUUCUUGUUCAAGUAAUUUACUCAAAUUCUCGGUUGAGUUGCCACUAGGAAAAGUUUGUAAAUGAUCUAUAUUUGUUAUUAAACUAACUACUUUAUUUUAUUAUUAUUAUUAUUAUUAUAAGUAGACAGACGUAUCAAUCAAUUAUCAAUGUAUUUAUUUUAAUUUAUAAAUGAUGUAGUUGAGUCGAAUUGACAUAUUUUAUUAACAAUAUAUAAAUGAUGGCACAUAAAAAAGAAUUGCAUUAAAAUCUGG